rnacentral:rRNA from 1 species
AUUCCAGCUCCAAUAGCGUAUAUUAAAGUUGUUGCGGUUAAAAAGCUCGUAGUUGGAUUUCUGCUGAGGACGACUGGUCCGCCCCCUGGGUGAGCAUCUGGUUCGGCCUGGGCAUCUUCUUGGGGAACGUAUCUGCACUUGAUUGUGUGGUGCGGUAUCCAGGACUUUUACUUUGAGGAAAUUAGAGUGUUUCAAGCAGGCCCGCGCCUUGAAUACAUUAGCAUGGAAUAAUAAGAUAGGACCUCGGUUCUAUUUUGUUGGUUUCUAGAGCUGAGGUAAUGAUUAAUAGGGAUAGUUGGGGGUGCUAGUAUUGAGCGGCCAGAGGUGAAAUUCUUGGAUUCGCUCAAGACUAACUUAUGCGAAAGCAUUCGCCAAGGAUGUCUUCAUCG